UACGUAGGGGGCGAGCGUUAUCCGGAUUCAUUGGGCGUAAAGCGCGCGUAGGCGGCCGCCUAAGCGGAACCUCUAACCCCGGGGCUCAACCUCGGGCCGGGUUCCGGACUGGGCGGCUCGAGUGCGGUAGAGGAGAGCGGAAUUCCCGGUGUAGCGGUGGAAUGCGCAGAUAUCGGGAAGAACACCGAUGGCGAAGGCAGCCCUCUGGGCCGUCACUGACGCUGAGGCGCGAAAGCUGGGGGAGCGAACAGG
rnacentral:rRNA from 1 species